AGGCUCCCGGCGGCUGCUUGCGCCCCAGCGCGCGCCCAGGCGCCUUGGAAUCCCCGUCCUUGGGCCCCCGCAAGGUCCCCGGCCGUGCGCGAGGCAGCAUGAUGAGGCGCACCCUGGAAAACCGGAACGCUCAAACGAAACAACUGCAAACAGCUGUCUCAAAUGUGGAGAAGCAUUUUGGAGAACUGUGCCAAAUCUUCGCUGCCUAUGUGCGGAAAACUGCCAGGCUGAGAGACAAAGCAGACCUCCUGGUGAAUGAAAUUAACGCGUAUGCUGCUACAGAGACCCCGCAUUUAAAGCUGGGCCUGAUGAACUUUGCAGAUGAGUUUGCCAAACUUCAGGAUUAUCGACAAGCAGAGGUUGAAAGACUUGAAGCCAAAGUAGUUGAACCCUUGAAAACUUAUGGGACCAUUGUGAAAAUGAAACGGGAUGACCUCAAAGCAACACUCACAGCAAGGAAUCGAGAAGCUAAGCAAUUAACUCAGUUAGAAAGAACACGUCAGCGAAACCCAUCUGAUCGACAUGUUAUUAAAUAAAACAACUAUGUGACAUCAUGACUUCCAGCCAGUUAACCUCAGGAGUCUUAAGAGUAUAAUUAAGAUCCAAGUUGGACACAAACCUAGAAAGGACUGUCUACUAUAACAAGGUUGUUACUGCCCAGCUCAGCCAGAAACCACAUGAGGAGUGGCUCUUUGAGAGCAUUUGAGGUUCCAGAACACCUCCAUUCCUGAGGGGAGUCUCUUGAGCAGCGAUUUGGGGCUGCGCCAGUUGCUUGGUCCUUCUUCCUUUGGACCAAAGGCAGAAACGGAAUUACAGAGAGCUGCAAUGGAUGCUAGCCGAACAAGUCGUCAUCUGGAGGAAACUAUUAACAACUUUGAAAGGCAGAAAAUGAAGGAUAUAAAGACUAUAUUUUCUGAAUUUAUCACAAUCGAAAUGUUAUUUCACGGCAAAGCUUUAGAGGUCUACACUGCUGCCUACCAGAAUAUACAAAACAUUGAUGAAGAUGAAGAUUUAGAGGUUUUCCGAAAUUCUCUGUAUGCACCAGAUUAUUCAUCUCGUUUAGAUAUUGUAAGAGCAAAUUCAAAGUCACCUCUUCAGAGAUCACUGUCAGCUAAGUGUGUAUCUGGAACAGGACAGGUAUCCACUUGUCGACUAAGAAAGGAUCAACAAGCAGAAGAUGAUGAGGAUGACGAGUUAGAUGUUACAGAAGAAGAAAAUUUUCUUAAGUAAACUACACAUUUCCAUUUUCAUCAUAAAUGACUUGAAAUCCACAAUGACUAAAUUGUAGAACUUUAUACUCACUUUGCUAUGUUAAGCCUCAAAGUGAAGUCCAACUGGAAACAGAAAAAUAAUUAAAGGAAACUUAUGCUGACCAAAAAUGAAGGCUUUAAAAAAUAUUGCAUACCAGUCAUUUCAACAUCCUACCUAGUGUUACAUGAUUUUUGUGUAAGUGCCUUUUUUUUUAAAGAUGGUGUAUUUCAAAGUAUUUCAUAUUAAUGUACUAUAUCUACUUGAAGUUCCAAUAGUACAUUAUGACAGAAACCAAAAGAUCUAACAAUUCUGCUUAGCUUUUUGGUUAAGACUCCAUGCUUUCAUUACCAGAAAAGGGUCUUACGUAGUCAUUAUGAUUCAUGGAAUUCUAUUCCAUGAAGCCUUAAGAAAAAAAACUUUUUUUAACUUUCCCUGAAACUUUAUCAUUUGAUAAGUAAAUUUACUUUUCAAGAAGAGUAUAACCAAAGAGUAAAGAUAAUGUGACACUAAGUUAUCAAUGUUUUAUGAAUACACAUAAGGCAUAAAUUUCAGCUGUAAAAAAGCUACAUUCAAUCUGACUCUGGUUUUAAAACAAAACUGCUGUCAUAAUUAUACAUGAUACUGCAACUUUUGGAAGGCUAAUUUGGUGGAAUGUUGCCUCAUCAUAGAACACCAUAGAUCAUUAAAAAUUCUAUAAAAAUUUUACCAAGCUACCAUAUAGUUAAUAAAAGGGUAUACAGUCACUUUUAUUUCUGAAAAUAUAAAACAUUGAGCCUUUCAGUGUAUCUGAUGCUUCUCUUUUGGUAAGGAAUACUUUUAUUUCAUGGAUCCCAGGCAGGCAUAUAAAAGUUACGGAAUUUAUAAAAUCAUUUGGGAUAAUUAGAAAAUGCAAUUAUUCAUAACAGAAAAAUAAAGACUUUCUAGAAAGCUUCUGACUUUGUCAAUCAUGGCUCUGUUCUUAACAAAGCACUCCUUCCUGAGAAUAGUCCUAAGUGACAAAGUUGUUUCAGUACUUUUUUGUAAAAUAUUUAAAACAUUUUAAAACCCUAAAUUGAUAUUCUUAAGAAACUCAAGAUAUCAUUGGAUAUUUACUGCUUCCUCACUCAGUAUUUAAAUUUGGUUGUACUUCGGGGGAAAACAACAGAGUUAUUAUUUUGCUGCUUACUAAAUAGCAACUUCUCUUGAGCAUUAUUUGCCUUGUUUGUAAAGUUAAAACUGCGUAAAACAGUAAUUCUGGAAUAAAACAUACAUUCUGCCUACCUCAAAGAAAUAUUCUAAGAACAAAAGGAAUACUAUCCAUGAAAAUACUUUCAUUAAUGUAAAAUUUUCAUUAUUUAGACCAGCCUAGGUUGGCAAACUUCUUAAAGGGCCAGAUAGCAAAUACUGUUAUUCUUCGUGGGUUUAGGCAAAUUCAAGACUAUUAUACAGGUAACUAUGUAACCAUGUAAGACUUAAGUACACUUAAAAAAUGUGAAAAACCAUUCCUAGCUUCCACUACAACAACAACAAAAAACAGGCAACCAAUCCAACCAACCCAGCCUGUAAGUCUCCAUCUCUUAUCUCCAAAAUAGGAAUACAAAUUGAGUAUCCUUUAUCUGAAGUGCUUGGGACCAGAAGUAUUUAAGACUUUGGAUUUCUUCAGAUUUUGGAGUAUUUGCAUUAUACCAGUUCAACAUUCCUAACCCAAAAAUCUGAAAUCUUAAAUGCUGCAAUGAGCAUUUUCUUUGAGCAUCAUGUUGGCACUCAAAAAGUUUGUGAUUUUCGGAGCAUGUGAAAUUUCAGAUUACCAGAUUAGGAAUACUCAACCUGUAGUACAUUUACUAGGAUUAUCAGAAUUAAAUGAUAGUUAAUUCAUACAUAAUUAUACAUCAUAUAGUAUCUAAUACAGCUCAAUAAACAACAGCUAAUAUUUACUGCAAAAACAGAGGCAGCAAGGUCACUACUUAACAGGUGAUAUAUGGAUCAAGAAUCACUGCUCUUAACAGUGAUCUCAGUAAAUUAAUAGAAAUGCACUCCUAACAUGAUUUUUACCUAUCUCUUGGUUGUGGGAUUGACUUUCUAGACAUGAUCUACAUUUUUUUAGAUAAUUUCUAGACAAAAAUGUUUGGCUUUAAGACAAAUGCCACUGGGUAUCAGGCUAGAGAAUACACCUCCAGUGUACCUGGUAUACCUUGAGGAUAGGAGAGGAAAAACUGGCUAUGAGACGACAAUUACUGAAGCUGAGUGAUGUGUACAUGAAAAUUUACUAUUCUUUUUUUAUAUUUGAAAUUGAUGAGGUGCUGGGAAGCUGGCUUUCUGAGGGGACAACAGGAGGGGAAUUCCUUGAUUUGCUGCAUUUAUCACUUUCCAUGGUGUAAAAUACUCCUGCCAUGGCCAAUUUGUUAUUGACAUAUCACUAAAGGCAGAGUUGGAGAGAGAUGUGCAAAGAUGGCUCCCAACUAGAAGAUACCACUUUCUGUAAUCAACUUUUUAUAAUGAAGUUUAAAAAUAUUAAGCCCUGAUACAUUAUAGGGUAAAAGGAAAUAUUCAUAUAAAUUAAUUUAAAAAUCAAAAUACAAGGCUGGGCACAGUGGCUCACACCUGUAAUCCCAACACAUUCUGGGAGACCAAGGAGUGAGGAUUGCUUGAGGCCAGAAAUUUGAGAACAGCCUGGGCAACACAGUGAGACUCUGUCUCUACAAAUAAUAAAAAAUUUAGCCAGACAAGGUGGCACACACCUGUAGUCCCAGCUCUCAGGAGGCUGAGGCAGGAAGACAGCUUGAGCCCAGGAGUUAGAAGCUGCAGUGAACCAUUAUCAGACCACUGCACUCCAGCCUGGCCAGCAGAACAAGACUCUGACUCUUAAAAUAAUAAAACUACAAAGCUUAUGUUUACUCUAGCUGGCCUCUUAUCUACCACCACCAUCCCACCUCAGCCCAGUUUGAAAUGCAAUUCCACAGUAAGUAAUCCCUCACGUUAAGCUUCAUCUUAGCUUUAUUCCUUUGUAUCUGAGAAGCAUUUUUUAACUUUCCAUAUAUUAUUCAAAAUGGGUGACCAAAUGAACCAUCUAUACAAUCUUUGCUCAAUUAAAAAUAUCAUUUCUACUUUCUUCAUUGUGCUUGGUUUGGAUAUUCCAAACAAUCAAUUUAACAUUAUCCUAGCUACUUACAAGCUUAUACUUUAAAGAAUCAUACUGAGGUGCUUUUUCAUAUCAAAUUUACCUGUUUAUU